CUGCCAGACUAAGUGGAUCGUAUCUCUAGUUCGUCUUGCAUAUUUUAUUUGUGGUCAAGGUGAAACAGGGCCACCGAAUUUUUAACUAAAGCUUGUUCCCAGUGGCCCGGCAAGUAUGUUGGGCUGGUAAUGAGUGCAUACGGACGUGUAUCAUUAUUGGUGGGCAGUGAAAGAAUUGCUAGUGAGCUUCGCGUCACUUAACCUGGCGUGUGGUGUCGCCUGUGAGUCGGGAAGCAAGUGUUGCCAGACUCAUACGUAGCAAUUUUAUUCUCUUUGUUUUCCAUUUAAUAAGUCUGUUAGAUUGUUGAAUCUCUUCAGUCCUUUUAACGAACGGUAUUAAAAAUGGAGUCUCAAGAUCUCGAGACACAAAAAUUUGAAUGAUUGAUGGUGACAGUGGCGGCAUGUGGCAAGGCUGUGCGCCUCUGCCUAACUCGUCUUCUACACCCAAGCAAGCAAUAGAAUCUUCACGACGAAGCCUCUGCGAUGGAGGACACCGUGCACCCCCGCUGUGUGCGCUGCGGGGACGGCUGCCCUGGUUUUGAGGAGCAUUUCUGGAGAGUGGUCAGUCAGCGGAGGAGAGCUAGGAGGACCGAGAACACCGGGCUGGAGCAAGACUUGUAGUGGGAUUACUGAGAAGGUGUGACACGGGAGAGCGCGGUUCAGGACGAGAUGAGCGGAGAGAAAGAUGGCAGAGAAGUACCAGAACGUGUGCUUCAUUAGACUGACAACUGUUGCUGCUGGUAAUAGUGGUGAUGGUGGUGGCAGUGUUGGCGCCACCACCACUGCUUCUUAUUGUACCUACAACCUUUCCCAGUACUCGUUCGCUUCCCUGCACAUGUGUAGCCAAGCAGGCAACUACAACAACGUCAAAACCAACCCUCCACCUUCCCACUACCACCAUCACCGCCGCCACCAAAGUCACUGCCGCUCAUACUAAUUCGCCGCCGCCACCACCACUACCACCACCGCCACUGUCAAUCUAUUAUGGUACACUUUUCGUUCCUUCAGCUCUUUUACUUACCUACUCAGUAUUACUCUCUCUCUCUCUCUCU